GUAGGGUGCAAGCGUUAAUCGGAAUUACUGGGCGUAAAGCGUGCGCAGGCGGUUUUGUAAGUCUGUCGUGAAAGCCCGGGCUUAACCUGGGAAUUGCGAUGGAGACUGCAAGGCUUGAAUCUGGCAGAGGGGGUAGAAUUCCACGUGUAGCAGUGAAAUGCGUAGAGAUGUGGAGGAACACCGAUGGCGAAGGCAGCCCCCGUGGGUCAAGAUUGACGCUCAUGCACGAAAGCGUGGGGGGAGCAAACAGGAUUAGAUACCCUGGUAGUCCACGCCCUAAACGAUGUCUACUAGUUGUCGGGUCUUAAUUGACUUGGUAACGCAGCUAACGCGUGAAGUAGACCGCCUGGGAUACGGUCGCAAGAUUA
rnacentral:rRNA from 1 species